rnacentral:rRNA from 1 species
AGAGUUUGAUCCUGGCUCAGGACGAACGCUGGCGGCGUGCUUAACACAUGCAAGUCAACUUGAGGGGGCAACUCUGAUGGUGGCGAACGGGUGAGUAACGCGUAGAUAACCUGCCCUUUAAUCUGGGAUAACCUCGGGAAACUGGGACUAAUACCGGAUAUUAUCUUUGGAUGGCAUCAUUUGGAGAUGAAAGACUUAUAGUCGUUGGAGGAGGGGUCUGCGUACUAUUAGCUAGUUGGUAGGGUAAUGGCCUACCAAGGCAACGAUGGUUAGCUGGUCUGAGAGGACGAUCAGCCACACUGGAACUGAGACACGGUCCAGACUCCUACGGGAGGCAGCAGUGGGGAAUAUUGGACAAUGGGGGAAACCCUGAUCCAGCAAUGCCGCGUGUGCGAUGAAGGCCUGCGGGUUGUAAAGCACUUUCGGUGGGGAAGAAAUGCUCAAAGAUAAUACAUUUGAGAGCUGACGUUACCCACAGAAGAAGCACCGGCAAACUCUGUGCCAGCAGCCGCGGUAAUACAGAGGGUGCAAGCGUUAGUCGGAGUUACUGGGCGUAAAGGGCGUGUAGGCUGAUAUCUUAGUCGAUUGUGAAAUCCCUGGGCUUAACCUAGGAAUUGCAGUCGAUACUGGAUGUCUUGAGUAUGGUAGAGGAAGGUGGAAUUCUCGGUGUAGUGGUUAAAUACGUAGAUAUCGAGAAGAACAUCGGUGGCGAAGGCGGCCUUCUGGACCAAUACUGACGCUGAGGCGCGAAAGCGUGGGGAGCAAACAGGAUUAGAUACCCUGGUAGUCC